rnacentral:rRNA from 1 species
AGGAUGAACGCUGGCGGCGUGCCUAACACAUGCAAGUCGAACGUCCUGUCUCGCAAGAGGCAGGGAGUGGCGGACGGGUGAGUACCACGUGGGUCAUCUACCGUGAGGUGAGGAAUACCGGCGAGAAAUCGCCGACAAGACCGCAUAGCCUCGGUGCAAGCCGAGGAAAGCUCUUUCGAGAGAGGGAGCGCCACACGAGGAGCCUGCGCCCGAUUAGCUAGCUGGUGGAGUAACGGUUCACCAGGGCGACGAUCGGUAGCUGGUCUGAGAGGACGAUCAGCCACACUGGGAUUGAGAACGGCCCAGACUCCUACGGGGGGCAGCAGUGAGGAAUUUCGUCAAUGGGGCAACCCUGAACGAGCAACGCCGCGUGCAGGAAGAAGGUUUUCGGAUCGUAAACUGCUUUUCUCGGGGAAGAGAACGGACGGUACCCGAGGAAUCAGCCCCGGCUAACUACGUGCCAGCAGCCGCGGUAA